GUCGAGAAUCUUCCGCAAUGCGCGAAAGCGUGACGGAGCGACACCGCGUGAUGGAUGAAGUCCUUCGGGGCGUAAACAUCUUUUAUAAAGGAGGAAAUUUUUGACGUUACUUUAUGAAUAAGGGGCUCCCAAUCUCGUGCCAGCAGGAGCGGUAAUACGAGAGCCUCAAGCGUUAUCCGGAAUCAUUGGGCGUAAAGGGUGCGUAGGUGGUUUGAUUAGUCUCCCGUUAAAACUUCGAGCUUAACCCGAAAAGAGCGGGGGAAACGGUCAAACUGGAGUAUGUGAGAGGUGUGUGGAACUCAUGGUGUAGGAGUGAAAUCCGUUGAUAUCAUGGGGAACACCAAAAGCGAAGGCAGCACACUGGCACAUCACUGACACUGAGGCACGAAACCUAAGGUAGCGAAUGGGAUUAGAAACCCUGGUAGUCC
rnacentral:rRNA from 1 species